rnacentral:rRNA from 1 species
AUUCCAGCUCCAAUAGCGUAUAUUUAAGUUGUUGCAGUUAAAAAGCUCGUAGUUGGAUUUCGGGCGGCAUUGGCCGGUCCGCCGUUUCGGUGUGCACUGGCCGGCGCCGUCUUCUUGUCGGGGAUGCGGUUCCGGCCUUCGUUGGCUGGGGCGCCGAGCCGGCGUGGUUACUUUGAAAAAAUUAGAGUGUUCAAAGCGGGCUUACGCUUGAAUAUAUUAGCAUGGAAUAACACGAUAGGACUCCGGUUCUAUUUUGUUGGUCUUCGGAACUGGAGUAAUGAUUAAGAGGAACAGUUGGGGGCAUUCGUAUUUCAUUGUCAGAGGUGAAAUUCUUGGAUUUAUGAAAGACGAACUUCUGCGAAAGCAUUUGCCAAGGAUGUUUUCAUCG